UUCAACUUUUUUUUAUUUUGCUUUUCCUUCCAUUGGGUGAGGUCAAGUCGACUUUAAAUCAUUUUUCUUAUCAGUAUUAUUACAACAAUCAAGACACAAUUAAGGGAUGGGCCAAGCCACAAAAUCUCAGUUUCUCUUGACGCAUUUUCUUCAUCUUCAUCCUUCUCAUCAUCGUAUUCAUCAUCUUUAACUUUUCCCUUUUACUUGAAAUGUACAAUUGUUUAACCAUUAACAACCGUUGGCUCGCAAUUGGAUCAUUGAUGACCAAUAUUCGGCCAAAAUUAAGACCAAGUGAAUAAUUUAACAUUCAAUUUUUACUGAAAAUAAUUUCGAGUUGUUCAUAACUAACAGGUGGUGCUCUCUAUUGUUGAAGUAAAAAGUUAAUGGUUGGUAACGGUUUAUUUGCCAUGGAAACUGUCAACAUGCUGUCAAUAUCUUUUGUCUUUUUUUAGUCUAUUAUUUCAAUGUUAAACUGUUAGCUUUUGUUAAUUUAAUCCGAUUAAAAUUUGAUUCAUCAAGUUCAUUAAAUUUUUCAACUUAAUGAUUUAAUCUUGAUGUAGAAACUGUAGUUACUUCUGCCCUGCAGUCAAAUUGAACCAUGAUUUGAUUAUAUUUGUCUCCAUCUUUUAACAACGUUAAUAUCGCGUUUGUUGAUUCAUGUUUCAUCUUGUGCUAUAUUCAAGUGAAAUGCUGUGAGAAUGUUCUCAUGAUAUUAAUCAGGCAAGUCACCGAAUUAUCCAGUGAUCGAAUAACAGUUCAAUUUAUUGGUUAUUGGAAGAAAAAUUUGUCCAUUUUAUGAAAAAUGUGAAACCUUUUGGCUCAUUAAUCAGGAUUUUAACCAAUUAUAUGAGGAACCUUGAGAUAAAUUUGUCGAAUCUUUGAUCGAGAUCAGAUGGAAUCGAUUAACAACCAGCUAAACAAGUGAUAAAGUUAAAUGAAUAAAGGAAAAAUGAGGUGCUGGUUUUUGUAUCAAUAAAAGCCAUGUUAUCAAUUCUGAGCCACUUCAAGAUAUUGUUUGGAAAAGCAUGAGAACUAAACUGGAAUCUGUUUUUGUGGUCACUUUGAGGAAUCAGAAGCAUUCAAAUUGCCCUUGAUCAAGGAUUGCCGUUACAAUGGACAAGCAACAAUAGCAACCUGAUUGGCUCAAUAUUAUUGUCUUCAUUCACUGAUCCCUUGAUGUUCAUCACAAUUUUUCAAGGCAACAUCCAUCUAUCAAACUGUUUGGCUAAUUGAAAUGCUUUACUGGCCAUUAAUGGUAAACUCUGUUAACAUCGCAACUUGAAUGUCAACAGGAUUUUUGAAUAUUCACUUGAUCAUUGAUCAUAUUUUAUAAUUGAAUUUAAAUCCAGUUAAUUGGAUUAAAAAAUCAGUUAACAACAGUUAAUUAGUACCUUAGUAGUGUAUGCUUAGUGGGUAGUCAGUAUCAUGUAAUAUCUUGAAGAAAUAUCAGAAAAGGAAAAAAGUUAUUAAGAAGAAGAGUGUAAAUGGAUAGAAGAAGAAGAAGAAGAAAAAAUUAACAGAUUUAUAUCAUCAUCUAUCAAUAAUGUUAGCAAAAAAAUAUCGGUAAUGUUAUUGAUUAUUAACAUUAUUGAUUAAAUUUAUUUGGAAAUUAGAACAAGGAUUGAGGCUGUUAUCAUGAAUCAUCAAUUGAAUGAAAGAGAGAGAGAGAAGAAAAUGAAUCCUGAGAUUUACUAUUACAAUCAAAAGUAAUUACAAUUAACCAUCAAACAUGAGGUAAAACAUUUUUAUUAAUAAAGAGCAGCAAAAAGUAAAAAGAAACACAUUUUUUCCGUAUCGAUUGAUAAUUAUUAAUCAAUGAUCAAUUGAAGGCAAAAUGGUUUGAUGAAGAUGAAGACGAUAUAUGCUGAUGAUGAAGGUGUAAGAGAUUUGGUUUUGAUUGUUGACUUUUAUUGACGAUUAUUGUAGCUGUAAGCAAUUUUAAUGUUGUAAAGUAACUUUAAAUUAACAACCCAAAUCACCCUUAGGUAAACAAUCAUCAUUACAUCAAGAUCAAUUUGAUUGUUGAGAUACUUUAAUAAAGUGUACAUUAUAAAUUAAACUUCAACAAUUUUCUUAGCUUAAACAGUUGACAGUAAUUUACACGUUUCUCUUCAACCAUCAUCUUUCUAAAUCAGAAUCAAUAAUCUGAUUUUUAUUUACUAUUAAACAUCAUGUACCAUGUUAUUGAGGCCUUUAAGGCAAUCAAUAUAUGGUUUUAAUGGUUAACAGCAAACGACAACAUCAAUAUCAACAACUUGAUUUGACUUAACAAACAAACAAAUCAGCAAAUCUGUAUUAUUAAAACAAACAAAUCAAAUGUGAUGUUGCUUGAAAGGUGAUAAUAAAUCACGCCAACUAAAAGAUGGGUUAUUAAUAUUUAAAUUUAUUAGCAUUAAUAAAGGUGGCGAUUAGCAUGGAAAGUCAACAAGAAGAAAAGUGAAUCUUUUUCUCAACAUCGUUUUUCAUCUAAACUCAACGUUGGCGGAUAAUUAACCUUUAAUUAUUCUAAUCAACUAAUUACCUGACCAAAUGGUUAUUCAAAUAAUCUAAACGUUCAACAUGAACGUUUACCCUGGAGAUGAAUUUAUUCCUAGAUUUGGAUUCAUUGAACAUUGAACAUCAACAUUUCCAAAGGAUGCUCAUGCUCAUCACUAUCAUGUUUAUGAUAAUGUUGAAGAUGAUGAUGAUUCUGAAGCUGAAUUUAUCCUAUAGAAUAGCGCAAACUCAUUCAAAGCUCCAGGCUACGAUAGAUUCAACUUUAUUAAUUUUAAUUCUGAGGAUGAGACUCGAAUCACGUUUUUUCAUUGAAUUGUUCAACAACAAAAUCAACAAAAUUACUUAACAAAAUCCAAGUGCAGUUGCUUUAAGCAAACGAUAGACUAACAAUGCUUUUCAAUCACAUUUUUUUCCUCUUCUUUUUGUCACAAAGAUAACUUUAUAUCAUUAUUCUUGGCUACAUGUUACACUUUAAUUAUGAUCAUUAACCUGAACAAUUCAAGUGAAUUUAGAAAAGGCUAGAAGCCGCAAUCAACAGGAUUAAUGGUCAUUAAAGGUUCCUAUUAUUGGUUAAAGACUUCAGAGACUUUUCAUUCAUUUCAAUUCUCGCAGGUUAUUUAACUAGCAACUCAUCAUUUUACCUCAUUGUCAACAUUGAUUCACAGAAGACCAAUGAAUCUCAAUCUUAAUCAAAAUUACAAUCAACCUUUCAACAUGUAAUCAACUCGAUUAACUUAUAGCUUUAAGGUAUUAAGCGCCAUCUAUUAUGUUUAAAAUUACUUUUAUAGCAUUUCUUUUUGUUGUCAGCAGAUUUUGUCUUUUCAUGUCGUCUGUUAAUUAUUUUGUUUUUUACUUGAUUGGCAAUAAAUUACAUUUUAAGUGAUUCAAUGGACUUGAAUAUUCAAUCAACGUAAUUUAGAUUGACUGUGCAACGUUUCUAGUGAUUGUGAUUGUUUAAACAAUAUCAAGCCAAUCAAUGGUAAAAGAUGUCGAUCUGGCUCUCGAUUGGAAGGGAAAGAGAGAGGCACAAGAAAAACGAUCAAGAUAAAUUAGGUGAUAGGUUUCGAUUGUAUUACGAUUUGGAUUCAGCUUUAUUCAAUAGCCUCAUCAUUUUAUGGCUUCUUGCUGUAAAUAUUUUCAACAUUGGUCCACAUUAACCUUUUUGGUAAACUGUUGACAAUUCUCAGGAUUGAGAGGACAAGAAAGGAAAUAGAAAUGACCACAAUCAAUUACGAAGAGGAAUCGCGAGGCUAAAAAAUAUAUCUACAUUAACAAAAGGACAUUCUUGACAAGUUCAUUUUUUUGGCUCUCCAAACAACAUUACUUUUGCUGCCCUUUUCUUUUGCUUCAUUGGCUUCACAAUCAUUCAGUUUAAGUCAUCAAAGAUCAGAAAAGUCGAUAAUCGCACAACUCUUGGAGCUUUUUUACUUCAUCUUCUUCACAAUUUCACUAUUUACUUCAAUUGGUUACCCAAAUCUGAUGAAACAUGAAACAAGGUCAAAGCCAUAUUUUCCUUUUCGUUUUGUCUUCUUGUUGCUUUUUCACGUUUCAUAUAAACGCAAAUUACAUGAUCAUUUUGCACUUCAAUAUCCUGAGUCAAUGUUCCGAAUCAACGCCUAAAUUGUAAACAUCCGUUCGUAUCAACAUUAUCAUACUUUUGAUAAUCAAACUAAUCAUUGUGAUUUCUUAUUCUUACAUUAACACUUCUUGGGCGUUCAGUGUUUAUCUUUACAUCCUUGCCUACAUGUAACCAAAACAUAUUGUCGUUCAUUUAGUCAAAGUGUGUCCUAUUUGGUUAAUUUGUUUCUGUUGAUCUUCAUUUCAAAUCAAUUAAAACAAAAGAAAUGCAUUUUUACACAAACCGAUAGAUGGCAUAAGACGGGAAUCAAGCGCUAAAAUUGAAUCCAAGUCAACUUACAACAAGAAGUUAAUUUUCCCAUUUUACCCACAAAAUCAGCCGAGUUUAUUAACAUCAAGAAAAUUUUGUUUCUUAAAUUGUCAAAAGAAAGUCAAAGUCAAAAACACAAGUCCAGGCGGACAAUUGAACAAGUCAAUCGCAUCAAAUUCAAGAUCAAUCAAACAUUGACAACAUUUUAAUGCAAAAAUUUCACGAUUUCCAGUCAUUUAGUAAUUCAAUUCACUAUUGUAGGUGUUGCUUGAUUUGAUUGAUUUUUUCCAUGCAAGGUUAAUUAGAAACAUUGCUUUAUCCGGACCAGUCCAACAAUUUAUCAAUUGAAGUCCAAAAAAAGGAAUCAUUUCAAUGUCUAUUUGUUUUUACAUUGAAACACUGAAAUCUCUUUACAACAUUUAAUGGGAUAAAAUUUGAUUGCGUGACUUUGACACUUUUACAUUAACAUUCACCUUAAAUACUCAUCAUUAAACAAGAAUCACAUGAGCAACACAUCAUUAUCCUCAUGAUUAAUCCCCAUGCGAAUGAGAAUCAAUGUCCAUUUAAUUAAUAUCAUUUUCUUUUGGCCAACAUUCAUCUAAUUGUCACAACAACAAAAAAGUGUCUUUAUUAUGUUAUACAAUUUAAUGUCGCGGUAAUACAAGGCAAAGGUUGGCAAGACACAAAAAGAAAGGUCAUUUUGACCCUAUUUUUGUUCAUCUGUCAAUACAAUCAAUCACAGAUUAUUUUGUGUUACUGUAUUUAAUAGGAAACAAUAAGAAGUCAAUGUGAUUGUCAAUUAACCUGAUUGAGGCUAAAUAAUUGAAUUGAAGAUGAAAGUGAAAUGAUGAACGGAACAAAAAAAAUAUGAAAAGAAGCAACAAAAAAAGGAUGAUAUGAGAUAUAAUAACAAUGGUAAUAACGAUAAUAAUGGCCAGUUGACAGUUUUCAUUGUAUACAAAUUGUCACAAGGGAACAACACAAUGAUAACUGUAAUCCAUCAAAUAAUCAAUGUUUACUGUUAACAUCAACCUGAUUGAGGGUGAAACAUUGUGAAUCUGUUUAUGCAACCUCACAACAUGAUAUU